GAUGAACGCUGGCGGCGUGCCUAAUACAUGCAAGUCGAGCGAACGGACGCGAAGCUUGCUUUUCUGAUGUUAGCGGCGGACGGGUGAGUAACACGUGGAUAACCUACCUAUAAGACUGGGAUAACUUCGGGACACCGGAGCUAAUACCGGAUAAUAUUUUGAACCGCAUGGUUCAAAAGUGAAAGACGGUCUUGCUGUCACUUAUAGAUGGAUCCGCGCUGCAUUAGCUAGUUGGUAAGGUAACGGCUUACCAAGGCAACGAUGCAUAGCCGACCUGAGAGGGUGGUCGGCCACACGGGAGCUGAGACACGGUCCAGGCGCCUGCGGUAGGCAGCAGAAGGGAAUGUUCCGCAGUGGGCGAGAGCCUGACGGAGCAACGCCGCGUGAGUUAUGGAGGUCUUCGGAUCGUAAAACUCUGUUAUUAGGGAAGAACAUAUGUGUAAGUAACUGUGCACAGCUUGACGGUACCUAAUCAGAAAGCCACGGCUAACUACGUG
rnacentral:rRNA from 1 species